AGUUCAGAUUGUAGGCUGAAACUCGCCUAUAUGAAGUCGGAAUUGCUAGUAAUCGCGGAUCAGCAUGCCGCGGUGAAUACGUUCCCGGGCCUUGUACACACCGCCCGUCACACCAUGAGAGUCGAUAACACCCGAAGCCUGUAGUCUAACCGCAAGGAGGACGCAGUCGAAGGUGGGAUUGAUAAUUAGGGUGAAGUCGUAACAAGGUAAC
rnacentral:rRNA from 1 species